AUUGAACGCUGGCGGCAUGCCUUACACAUGCAAGUCGAACGGCAGCACGGGUGCUUGCACCUGGUGGCGAGUGGCGAACGGGUGAGUAAUACAUCGGAACGUACCUUAUCGUGGGGGAUAACGCAGCGAAAGUUGCGCUAAUACCGCAUACGCCCUGAGGGGGAAAGCGGGGGACCGUAAGGCCUCGCGCGAUUAGAGCGGCCGAUGUCUGAUUAGCUUGUUGGUGAGGUAAAAGCUCACCAAGGCGAUGAUCAGUAGCGGGUCGGAGAGGACGAUCAGCCACACUGGGACUGAGACACGGCCCAGACUCCUACGGGAGGCAGCAGUGGGGAAUUUUGGACAAUGGGGGCAACCCUGAUCCAGCAAUGCCGGGUGAGUGAAGAAGUCCUUCGGGUUGUAAAGCUCUUUUGUCAGGGAAGAAACAGCAGCUCUAACACAGUCUGCGAAUGACGGUACCUGAAGAAUAAGCACCGGCUAACUACGUGCCAGCCGCCGCGGUAA
rnacentral:rRNA from 1 species